rnacentral:sRNA from 1 species
ACGGGCCCCGUGUUCGAUUCACGGCUGAUGCACCA